CUCACGGCUUCGCUCGAUGUUUACUCCAAACAGAAGCGUUCGCUUUGUCGUAUGCAAAAUGACCUGCGCAUUUCUUGACCUGGCGAUUUGUGUACCGAAUAUCCUCUGAUCAUUAUUUUCUGCCUAUAAAGGCAUUAAUGAAGAAGACCUGAGGCUGUGAAGCAGAGGGGGUAGGACCAACUUGAAGAUGUGACAUUGGGAUAAAGAUUGACACGCUAACACACUGAGGUGGAUCCCAUUUUUAGAGGAAUCUUUGUGGCCUUUUUGCAACUCCCACGAAAGCAACAAAGGAGAGAGCAAUUGUAAUGUGGUCAACAAGUCCAACAAGAACAGCAAGUUUCAGUAUCUACCUCACCUCUUCCAGAGGGUGAAGAGUCCUCAGGGUGAUGAAGGAGAAUGACCGGACCCUGAAUCUGCUGACCUUGCUGUCAUUAUUUAUAGCUUUUGGAAACCCAGUUCAUGCAGGCAACUGAGAUGUCUCCAGUGAUCAUCACCAAACAGUGUCAUCUGCGAAACAGGACUUACGCUCAGAAGAAAUAGGUAGCCAUCCUAUUAAGGCUACAUCUGCCUUGAAUGUUUAUAUUGCAGAUUGUUCCAAGAAGCAGCUAGGGACCUGUGUAGUAUCUUCUAAAUCUCAGCUCACAAAUGCACUCUGAUUUUAUUUAUGCUAUUUUCUCCAGAUUAUACCAGUUUUUUUCCUUCUCCCAAGAUGAAGAACAUCAAGCUCUUCAGGCAGUGGGAUCCUCUAAUAUUCCUGGCCCUCCCAGCUCAACCUACAUCACUUUGAGAGAGCCCAAUCAUCAACCUGCAGAGCUUGUCAACUGAACAAGUAUCCAUUCAAUCGAUGUUCAACUUACCUAUGACCAAUGCUGACUAUUCUUCUACCAGAGCCAUCUACCAGGACUGUAGUGAACAGAUCAUAGCCUUCCUUAAAUGAGGUUUUGAAGCCUAGACCAUCCCAGGUAUGGUUUUGCAGUACAACCAAGAAAUCAUGUGCUAUAUCGUUGUGAUAUUCUGUGCUAUUCACAACUUGACCUGACAAAAAGAGGGAUAUCCUGGAUGCAGAGGAAAUGGGGAAUCAGCAGGAUGAAUAUUGGGACAUUGAACAAGACAGGAAGUCAAAAGACCAUGAAUUCCAAAGAUGAGGUGAGAAUGACAGCUCUUGGCAUCAAGUCAACACUUGACGGAGUGUGGUAUCAAGGAGCCUGAGCAAAACUGGAAUCACUGGUAAUUAGAGAGCAACACCUCCAUUGGUUGGAGUCAUAUUGGCAUAUAGGAAGAUGGUUGUGAUUGCUGAAGAUCAGUCCUGUGAUGAAUCCAUGAGUUCCUCAGGGUAGUGUCCAAGGCCCAAUCAUCUUCAAUUGCUUCAUCAAUGACCUUCCCUCCAUCAUUAGGUCAGAAGUGGGGAUGUUCACUGAUAAUUGCUCAAUAUUCAGCUCCAUUCACAACUCCUCAGAUCCUGAAGCAGUUCAUCUUCAAAUGCAAUAAGAUUUGCACAAUAUCCAGGCUUGGGCAUGUGGCGAAUAGCAUUUGCAUCACACAAAUGUCAGGCAAUGACCAUCUCCAAAAAGAGGCAACCUAACUACUGGUCCUUGACAUUAAACAGUGUUACCAUCACUGAAUCCUCCUAUUAAUAUCCUGGAGGUUACAAUUGACCAGAAACUGAACUGACUCACCUCAUAAAAAACAGUAGCUAAAGAGCAGGCCGAAGGCUUGGAAUGCUGCUGUGAGUAACUCGUCUUCUGACUCCCCAAAGCCUGUCCAUCAUCUACAAGGCACAAAUUAGGAGUAUGAUGGAAUAUUCUCCAUUUGCCUGGAUAAGUUUAGCUCCAACAACACUCAAGCUUGACACCAUCCAGGACAAAGCAAUCCACUUGAUUGGUGCCACAUCAACAGCUUCCACUCUCUCUGCCCCCAUGCUCAGUAGCAACAGUUUGUACUAUCUAUAAGAUGCACUGCAGAAAUUCACUAAAGAUCCUUAGACAGUACCUUCUAAACCCACUACCACUACCAUCGAGAAGGACAAGGGCAGCAGAUACAUAGGAACAGCGUCACCUGCAAGUUCUCCUCCAAGACCCUCACCAUCCUGAUUUGGGAAUACAUUCCUGUCAAAAUCCUGGAACUCCUUGCUAUUGGCAUUAUGGGUGUACCUCCAGUGCAGGGACUGCCAGUUCAAGAAUGCAACUCACCACCACCUUCUCAAGGUCAACUAGGACAGGCGAUAAACAUUGUCCAGCCAGUGAUACCCAUGUCCCAUGAGUUAAUAAAUUAAAAAUGGAGGCCAGACUGAUCCUACUCAAAUUUGCUUCCAGGACUAAUGAAUUGGGUUUGGACUUUCUUUCAUUGUGUAACUUUCUGUUGGUUUAUGACAAGCUGUCAAUGGUCAGUUCACAAUACUGGUGGUGAAUUGCAAUACUCAUGAAUCUGGUUAUUUCUACGGUUCUUCAACCUUUCUAUUAUUGAAAGAAAAUGUCUUCUUAUCCAUUUAUUUAUAUGUGUUGUAUUUUUGAGUGAUCCCACUUUCAAGUAUCUAAACUUUACAGGUCCCCACUAUCCAGGAAAAAGAAGCAAUCAGUGAGAUAGAGUAGUAACAUUGCAUGGUGCUGAGGUAGAUUUUCAGGCUUCAGACAGCAUAUGAUAUCUGAAUUCUGAAGGACAGUUAUGCCAGACUCAAAGCAUUAACUGUGAUCAGAGAUAAUGGGAACUGCAGAUGCUGAAGAAUCCAAGAUAACAAAGUGUGGAGCUGGAUGAACACAGCAGGCCAUGCAGCAUCCUAGGAGCACAAAAGUUGACGUUACGGGCCUAGACCCUUCUUCAGAAAAAAAAGCCCUAGCAGGGUAUUGUGUACUGUUACUAUGACAAAUUACCAUGCAUAAAGGUACUGAUGGAACUUAUUCAUACCAAACAUGACCGCCAAACCUUCCUGCUCUAUCUGGGAAUAUUUGCAUUCUGCAUCGGCCAAAGUUUGAGAAGCAUGCACUUUCUGGCGUUCCUCUCCCUUGUGCUACUGGUGAGCCAACACUACACUAAUGACGUAUGGGGAGGCAUCGCAUGUCAGUACUGCCUCUCACUUCAAAUUUUAGUGGGUCAACACCUUAGAUGAUGACAGCUACUUUUUCACUUCCCUAAAGACUGUUUCUUAGCUACACGACCAUUUCCAAUGUUGACCAUCUUUCAAUAGCACAUGUAAGGGUGCCAAGAUGGAGGCCAGGUUACAUAUUAAUUUUCUGUAAUUUAGUGACCCAAGGAAAGACCUAAGGUCUGGUACAGAUGUGAGAUCCAGGGCUCCUUUGAUUAUCCUCACUUUAUCCUCCAAUGGGUGUAUCCCAGUUUUGUCAACUCUGUAACCUAUGUAGGUCAUUUGGGGUCCCUGCAACACACAUUUUUCCCUUCCAAGGUGCACAGCUGCCUAGGCAAAACAUUUAAGUAUGAUGUCCAAGUUUUCCAAGUGCUCUUUUUUGGUCUUCCCUGUUACUAGUACAUCACCCAGAUAAAUGACGACCUGGGAUAGCCCUUGUAAAAUGUUCUGAAUUGUCCAAUGGAAAAGGGUGCAGACUGAUACCCCAAAUAGCAAUGUUGAAUGUUGGUACAAACCCUUCAUGGGUAUUAAAUGUGGCGACCCUCUGGCAAUUGUCAUCUAGUCAUAAUAGCAGGUUGGCGUGACUCUGUCCAGCUUCAUGAAGGACAGACCACUGCCAAUUAUGUGUACAAGUCCUCAAUUAGAGGGAUUGGGUAUUUAUCCAGCUGCAAGAAGUGGUUUACUGUUUGCUUAAAAUCUCCAUCUUGGUUGACCAAUGCUGCCCAUUUCACAAACUGCAAUGUUUUAAUGAUUCCUUUGUUUUCCAGCCUCCUGAUAUACCCCUCUAUUUUUACUCAUAAGGGAACUGGCACUUGCAAAAUCACAGAAUUCCUUCCUGGUCGACAUGUAAAGUGGCCUUGACCCUUUUAGUAGUUCCUAACCCUUCCUGAAAAAUCGUCUGGAUAUUUAUUUAUGACUUCACUCAGGCAGCCAUUUUCUAAUUAAUAACAUUGAGCCAAUCAAGUUGAAACUUUCUCAACCAAUUCUGUUCCGUCAAGUUUGGGCCUGAGCCUCUUACUUCAACCAGUGGCAACUACAACUGCUUCUCAUAGGAGACCAGAACUGAAGUCGUACCCUUAAUCUAAAUUCCCUGGAGUGUGUUCUCAGUCUGGCCACAGUCUUGCAUAACCUUAAGGGUUGGAGUCUAGAACAAAUCUUGUUAAAAGACUGGUUUUGCAACCACUGAUACAACUGCGCUAGUAUCAACCUUCAUGAGAACUGGGUGACCAUUUAAGCAGACAUUAAUUUUAAUUGUCUGAUUUGGGAUAUUUAUAACCAAUUUAAUUGUUCCAACCCACAUGUAAAGUGGGUUAAACUUCCCAGAGUGUGCACUCUCCUGGAUAUCGUGCUAUGAGUUCUCUUAGUCAUGUCAGGCCUCGUAGGACUCUUUUGUUGUCUCAAGUCUGUAUAUAGUAGUUAAGAACAAAAAAGAACAUUCUGAAGAAGGGUCACUGUAUCUGAAACAUUAACUCUGUUUUCACUCCACAGGUAUUACCAAAACUGCUGAGUUUUUCAAGCAAUUCUGUUUUUUUGUAAUAAAGAACACCCUGGCAGAUUUCUCAAUGAGUACAUCAAGGAAAAGGAGCUCAUUUUACAACUCCAUUUCAAACGUUGUUCCCUUUUACAUUGUUAGUCUUGUAAAUUGUCCUAAUGAGUACAGGGCAAAAUGCUUCAACAAUAUGUAUGAAUUUUUAGCAACAUACAAAUAUGGCUUCAUUAUACUCAUUGCUGUAGAAUGUUAGAGCAUAGAUAAUAUGAUUUCAGAUAUUUUAUAUAUUACCAAGAUAACUCCACUUUUGUUUGGCUAAACGUUUUGGAUAAAUUCCAAGGAUGAAGAAGCAUGCCCACUUGAAUCUAAUCCCUAGGAUAUUUCAAAGCAAAUGAAUGAGAUCUGCACUUUCCAUUUAUGCAACUACGUAAUUGGUUUGAGAGGGUCACUUGUGAAGCUUUAUGUACAGUGAAGGAUGUUGACUCUAUUCCACGUAAUUUGGACAUGAUAAACAAAUUGAGUUUGGAAAUUUCUGAUAUUAGAUACUAAAGCAAAAUGUUUUAAGAAAUGGAAGAAACCAUCUCACUUAAGAAGUGUUUUCCUUCCAGAAGAUGAAUAGGGGUAAGUAGUGUGACCUCUCCCAACAUAUCUGCUUCCUGAUUCGUGUUUGGAACAUUGAAAACUGUCAUAUCCUUAAUAUGAUUAAUGUUUGAAUGAAAACUUCCUGUUUACAAUACAUAUUUAAUUGUUGUAAAUGAA